CUUUUAGAUUCGAUAGUAAAAAAGCAAAACCAAAAUAGCCCUGUCACAUCCAGCCACUGUCAAUUAAUGCCUGGAACUGGAUUAACUACGAGUAAACCAAUUCAAGUAGCGCGAGACUCACCAGCUGUCAGGCACGAGCCGUUGGGAAGAGGAGGAGUACACGUGGCUGGUGCAUGAACCUUGAAAUGAUGAGUGAAUGAAGGCAGGAGUUACUGGAACGAAGGUAGGGGUAAGUCGUAUCAUAUUUAUUUCUUACUUUUGAAGCGUGUGGAAUACAUGGUACAAAACUUGUUCAAGAACUCUUGGGGGGCUUGUGUCACAGGUAAAUUAGACAAAUUUAGUUUUUCGGGGCAAAAUGAAGUGUUUGCUUUAGCUGCGCUGCACGGAAAUAGACCGCCUGACAUGUUGAGACCCAUGUUUUCUGCUUGUCAACUACCAUACUGUUCAAUAUUGUUUAAGUAGCUCAUGGCCCAAGUGGCAAGAGAAACUCUGGGUGAAUUUCUGUUUCAGAAUUGUGAGUUUCACCUCUCUAUGUAAUUAGUGUUCUUAUUAUUUCAAUCCAGUAUUGCAAAGGUAGUGCUUAAAAUUACAGCAGUAUCAAGCUAGGCAUCUGAAUGUGACCCAUAUUUAAGUUCAGGCACAAAAGAUCAUAGAGUAGAGUUAAUUCUACUCUAGUUGUGUUUUUGCAUUUUAGCAUCAUUUUGUUAUUGCUUUUCUGUGAAGUUUAAAUGUAUUUGACUUUAUGGAAAAAAUGAAACACUUGUUAUAUUAUAACCAAUCAUGUAAUAUUUAAAAAUACAUAGUAUUCAGAUGGAUGAUUUUGAAGUUAUAUAGCACAGUUUACUUCUGAACGUGUAAUAGCUAGGCAUUCAGAUUCAUUUUCUAAUUGGGUCAAAGAGUUUUGAGAAAUUUCCUGAAGUCCCUCGAAUAUAAAUAAAUAACAAAGUCAGAACACACAAUGUUUUCAUGUGUAAUAAAUAAAACCAGUAACUCCUUUAAAAGGAAACAGAGAAAGAAAAAAGGAAGGAAUGCAAGAAGAGAGGGGAAAAAGGAGGAAGGAGGGAGGGAGAAAGGUGGAAGGAAGAAGUGAAGGCAGGCAGGCAGGCAGGAAGGUAUAGUCUUAUUGUUACUACUUGUGUAGAAAAUUUACAUUUGUGAAAUGCCUUAGUCUGUUCAGGCUGCUAUAACAAAAAUA